GCGAGUAUUGGCCCUCACGGGUCUAAUCCACCAUAAACACCUUUGUGAACCAGUCAGGGGGACUCGGCCGUGAAAGCCCAGGCGAUUAGCGGAAGGGCCCUCCUUUGCAAACCCGUUUAGAAGUCUUUGAAAGUACUUUGUAUAAUCUAGUA
rnacentral:misc_RNA from 1 species